CAAGCUGCUCUUAGCUGCGAUCUGUCAUCUGCAGACUGAGCUUGGUGCAUGGUGGUUAUGAAACUGGCCAGACCAACAAUAGAUGGAAAAGCUUCCUCUUUUUGGCCCUGGGCCCCAGGGAGCGAGGUCAGGCUGAAUUGUACCCUCCCAAAUUCAUACGUUAAAGUCCUAAGCCCUGGGACCACACAAUGUGGCUGUAUUUGGAGGUUACCUCUUUAAAGAGUUAACUACAGUAAAAUGAGGUCACCAGGAGUGGGCCCUGAUCCAAUAGGACCGGUGUCCUCAUAAGAAGAGGAGAUGAGGACACAGACACACACAGAGGGACGACCCUGUGAGGACACAGGUAGAAGACGGCGUCUCCAAGCCCAGGAGAGGGGCCUCAGGAGGAACCAGCCCUGCCCACACCUGGAUCUCAGACCUCCAGCCUCCAGGACUGUGGGAGAAUCAAUGUCUGUUGUUUCUAAGACACCCAGUCUACGGUAUUCUGUGAUAGCAGCCUGAGAUGGACUAAAACAUCUCAUAAGAAGAGGAGGUGAGGACACAGACACACACAGAGGGAUGACCCUGUGAGGACACAGGGAGAAGACGGCGUCUCCAAGUCCACAAGAGAGGCCUCAGGAGGAACCAGCCCUGCCCACACCUGGAUCUCAGAACUCCAGCCUCCAGGACUGUGGGAGAAUCAAUGUCUGUUGUUUCUAAGACACCCAGUCUACGGUAUUCUGUGAUAGCAGCCUGAGAUGGACUAAAGCAUCUCAUAAGAAGAGGAGAUGAGGACACAGAUACAGAGGGACGACCCUGUGAGCACACAGGGAGAAGACGGCGUCUCCAAGCCCAGGAGAGAGGCCUCAGGAGGAACCAGCCCUGCCCACACCUGGAUCUCAGACUUCCAGCCUCCACGACCGUGGGAGAAUCAAUGUGUUUUGUUUCUAAGCCGCCCAGCCUCUGGUAUUCUGUGACAGCAGCCUGAGAUGGACUAAGACAUCUCAUAAGAAGAGAUGAGGACACAGACACACACAGAGGGACAACCCUGUGAGGACACAGGUAGAAGACGGCGUCUCCAAGCCCAGGAGAGGGGCCUCAGGGGGAACCAGCCCUGCCCAUACCUGGAUCUCAGACCUCCAGCCUCCAGGGCUGUGGGAGAAUCAAUGUGUUUUGUUUCUAAGCUGCCCAGCCUCUGGUAUUCUGUGACAGCAGCCUGAGAUGGACUAAAUCAUCUCAUAAGAAGAGGACAUGAGGACACAGACACACACCAAGGGACAACCCUGUGGGACACAGGGAGAAGACGGGGUCUCCAAGCCCAGGAGAGAGGCCUCAGGAGGAACCAGCCCUGCCCACACCUGGAUCUCAGACCUCCAGCCUCCAGGACUGUGGGAGAAUCAAUGUCUGUGGUUUACAGUCCACCCAGUUUGCAGUGUUUUAUUACGGCGGCCGAGCUAACUACCCAUUCACUCUGAAGCAGUCGGGAGAAGGCAGACGUCAGAGAUGCUGCCGAAACCUAGGCUGAAUGGACGUGAACUUGGGAUGCUGCCGAGACCUAGGCUGAAUGGACGUGAACUUGGGUACCACUGGCUUCUCCCUGCUGUUGAAUCCCAAAGACCAUCUCGAGGCCAUCUGGAGUCAUGCUCCCCAGCCGGCUUCUCAGUAGAGACAGCACGUUACGGGGUGGGAAAUGGUUAUUCACAGUUGUUCAGUGGCUGCCUGCCUUGGCGUUGGGGAGCCACAUGAGAAUGCUCACAGCCACAGCCCUCCCGGGUGCGACUCCCCGGGAUCCCGCCCUCUGC